rnacentral:rRNA from 1 species
AUACAGAGGGUGCAAGCGUUAAUCGGAUUUACUGGGCGUAAAGCGCGCGUAGGCGGCUAAUUAAGUCAAAUGUGAAAUCCCCGAGCUUAACUUGGGAAUUGCAUUCGAUACUGGUUAGCUAGAGUGUGUGAGAGGAUGGUAGAAUUCCAGGUGUAGCGGUGAAAUGCGUAGAGAUCUGGAGGAAUACCGAUGGCGAAGGCAGCCAUCUGGCCUAACACUGACGCUGAGGUGCGAAAGCAUGGGGAGCAAACAGAAUUAGAAACACCGGUAGUCC